CGUCAUGAUUUCCCUCGAACUUCGUUCCUUCAGGAACAUAUCUACACCAUUGCCCUCGUGAUUGUAAGUUUGUGAUGCGUGUCCCUCAAAUGUUGCACAGCCAUUAUUUUUCAUUAAUCAUUAGGUCAAUGAGAAAAAAUAGUUUUUGUCCAAAUAAAAUGGACCAAAACUGAUAAUAGCCUAUAAUAAUAUUCAACAAUAAACGACAAUAAUAAAUUAAACAUUGCUUUAUUACAGUUAUUCCUUUACCUCUGUCUCUGAAAGGUGAGCCAGUGCAUGAAAAAAAAAAAUGUCAUUGAUUUAUUAAAAUUUAAUUUUCAUGACAUUCCACAGAGAUUAGGCUACCGUACGGUACCAUACUCUAGAAAUUAUCAAUGUUCCAAAUGGGUACCGCACACUAGAAACAUUCAUUUAAUAUUUACAUAGCAUAUCACUUACUGGUUAUACGGUACGAUAUCUGCGGAUAGGUACCAUGGUUAUCAGUAACUUUUUAUUGCCUACUAGGCCUACUUUAGUAUAAAUAUAGUUUUUCUUUAUAGUUUAUAGAAUAAACUAUUAUAUUCUGUUGUGCAAUGCCAAGUGUAGGUACCUAAAUGAUUUCAAUCAUGUUUUAGUAAUAAAUUGAGUUACUUUAGAACCAAUUUCAUUUAAGCAUUAAAAAUAAGUAAAUAAUUUAUUGUGUUCAUUCUACGAGUGAGAGUUCCUUUGCAACAGGAUGAAAGACUGUAUUGAUCAAUGUAAAACUGAAAAAAGUAAGCUUUGCAAGGUUGUUGAGUUGAAGCAUUUUGAAUGUACCGCAUUUAAAAAUUGAAUCAGUAUGACAAUCUUCCACCAGGUUCGCUGCAGUUCUAAUCUUGACUUUGAGACCCCUUCUCAAAGCGUCCUAUUAUGAAGUAUAAGAAGUACAACGAUCGGAAUUGCUCAUAUUGAGAGCAGACGAUGUAUCACUUGUUCGAAAAGUAUCGCUAUAGCCGUUUUUGCAGCCCCUCGUCCACCUCCUCUGUCUUUCGAAUUCUAUGCUGACCAUCCUUUUCUAUGUCUGAUAACGAAGAAAAUGACCGCCACUAACAUGAUCCUAUUCAGUGGAAAAUAUACUGGAAAUUGAACUGGAAUCAACCUUGCGUAACCUGUUAUAAUCGGCUUUAUGUGUGUAUCUAUCAAUUCUAUCAUUUCUUGUAGCUGCAAUAUAUCUGUUUAUUCCUUUUCUA